AUGUGCACGUCAGGGCUGUGGCCGGCCUUUCCCUUCCGUGCAUCGGCGACCACUUCGCUAGUUCACUGCAGCGUGGGGAGUGGAUCUCCGGCGAGCGCGAGACGAGCUCCGAUGGCGAGCGGAGGCGGAUACGCCUGGGCCCUCGCGGCGGGCCUCAACGCCGCGCUCGCCGCCAUCUCCGCCAAGUUCUUCGCUCCCACGUUGCUGAAAUACGGCAUGGUGAUACUUUUCAACGUGACAAUGUGGGGGUGCUACGUGAACAGCCUCAAAGCUUUGUCGUCCCUCCAGGCAACGGUCACCAACUUCGCCGCCAACUUCAUCUCGUCAGGUCUUGCAGGGUAUUUCCUGUUUCAGGAGCCUCUGCCUUCCAAGUGGUUUGCAGGUGCCAGUCUGAUCAUUCUUGGUGUGUUCAUCCUCAGCAAAUCAAGCAUUGAGGAGAAAGUGAACUCUGAUUGA
rnacentral:rRNA from 1 species